rnacentral:rRNA from 1 species
AUUGAACGCUGGCGGCAUGCUUUACACAUGCAAGUCGAACGGCAGCGCGGGGCAACCUGGCGGCGAGUGGCGAACGGGUGAGUAAUACAUCGGAACGUACCCAGAAGUGGGGGAUAACGUAGCGAAAGUUACGCUAAUACCGCAUACGUUCUACGGAAGAAAGUGGGGGACCUUCGGGCCUCAUGCUUUUGGAGCGGCCGAUGUCUGAUUAGCUAGUUGGUGAGGUAAAGGCUCACCAAGGCGACGAUCAGUAGCUGGUCUGAGAGGACGACCAGCCACACUGGGACUGAGACACGGCCCAGACUCCUACGGGAGGCAGCAGUGGGGAAUUUUGGACAAUGGGCGCAAGCCUGAUCCAGCAAUGCCGCGUGAGUGAAGAAGGCCUUCGGGUUGUAAAGCUCUUUUGUCAGGGAAGAAACGGCUGAGGAUAAUACCUUCGGCUAAUGACGGUACCUGAAGAAUAAGCACCGGCUAACUACGUGCCAGCAGCCGCAGUAACAC